rnacentral:rRNA from 1 species
GACGAACGCUGGCGGCGUGCUUAACACAUGCAAGUCGAACGGAAAGGCCCUGCUUUUGUGGGGUGCUCGAGUGGCGAACGGGUGAGUAACACGUGAGUAACCUGCCCUUGACUUUGGGAUAACUUCAGGAAACUGGGGCUAAUACCGGAUAGGAGCUCCUGCUGCAUGGUGGGGGUUGGAAAGUUUCGGCGGUUGGGGAUGGACUCGCGGCUUAUCAGCUUGUUGGUGGGGUAGUGGCUUACCAAGGCUUUGACGGGUAGCCGGCCUGAGAGGGUGACCGGCCACAUUGGGACUGAGAUACGGCCCAGACUCAUACGGGAGGCAGCAGUGGGGAAUAUUGCACAAUGGGCGGAAGCCUGAUGCAGCAACGCCGCGUGCGGGAUGACGGACUUCGGGUUGUAAACCGCUUUCGCCUGUGACGAAGCGUGAGUGACGGUAAUGGGUAAAGAAGCACCGGCUAACUACGUG